GCUGGAGGGGGAGGAUCCGCCAUGGCGGGGGUGGCCGGGCCGGGGGUCGAGCUGGGCUGCGUCUUGGUGCAGGUUCAAGAAGAUCUUCAACAGUUGAAGGAACAACUGCGAGGUUUCAGCCAUGACUGGGAAACAGCAGAUACUGACGUUCUAGAAUCAGUUGUUGAAAAGGCAGAGAACAGACUGAGGAAACAUGCAGAAAACUAUUUAAAUGCAGUGAACAGAUCAGUGCUAACUAUUUUCCCAGCGGACGAUGCAAAACCAUCUUCAAGACAAAUUUCCAAAUGGGGAAUCCCCUUGGAGCCUCCUCAGAAAGAAAUCUCGUUCCCCAAGAUGCCGGUGAUGGCCCCUCCUGGCAGUGCAGCCCUGCCUCCAGCCUCCUCCUUGGGCUCAAAGCACAAGCUUUCCAUGAUGAUGAAGAUUCUGUGUGACCCAAAACACAUAUACCACCGAAGCAUUGUAAAUCAGAACUAUGGGGUCAGUUUGCCAUUGGUUAAUCGGAGGAAAACAGCAUGUGCACCGACGCAGAAGAUUGCAAAAGGUGUGACAGUCAGCAACCUUUCCAUAGCUCCACCAGCCUCCUAUUUCAGCAACAUUCGCUCUGCCGUGCCUAUUUCUGAGAAGGAUGCAGGGAAAGGCAUCCUAAAUCUAAUCGAAAGAGGACUCAUUCCACGUGCUGCUAGGAUUACUUUAGAGAAGCCACCCAUUCUGCCAAAACCUGUUCCUCUCCAUGAAUUUCAGACAAAGUACAAGAAGGUUGACGCAGGUUUUCAAAGCCGCUUUAUCUGUGCCAUAGAGGGGGCUCGGCAGAGCGAGAAGGUAGAAGCGGCUCCCCUCCCCUCUCAGAAGCCCACCCAGGUCUCCGAGCACCCAGCAGAAGGUGGAAAGGAGAAGAAAGGAACCAAGGGGAGCAUCGCACCCCCACCAUCCUGCAUCUCCGUCAUUUCCUCCAAGAAACUCAAACAGCAGCAGCUACUUCAGGCCAUGAGACUAAGGGAGUCAGCCGCCUCUUCGGUUUGCUUGGCAAAGACGCCAGAAGCGAUCCCGCCGGAGACCUUCAAGAAGGUGGCUUUUGAGUUUGAAAUCCCCGUCUGCAAAGGCGUCCUUGACUACGCGGCCUCCGACCUGGUUCAGUUCAAGCAGUACUGCUGCCUCCUCUGGGGAAGCGUCUUCUCCUUCCUGCAGCAAGUGGAGGUUCUGAUGAAGGAGUACGCCAUUCCUCUGGCCAUCGUCAUGGGGAAGAAAGUGAUGGACCUGGUCCCGGAUUUUGAGCUAAACCAGAGAGCCACCCGGGAGGAAAUCCUCUCGGUCUUAAAGAACGUCUCCACCGUUCAGAAAUUUUUAAAGCAGCCUGGCCGGAGAUACAAAGGCCAAAACGGGACCGAAAAAGCCGCCAUCAAGAUCCAGGCAACAUGGAAGUGCUACAAAUUGAGAAAAUCCUACAUUGGAUUCAGGCAUCGGCAGUGGGCCUCGGGCAUCAUUGCCAUUUCUUGGUUGAUCCACGUUCACUUGCAGCGUGUCCGAAAGACCCUGAAGGAGUCUCGGCAGAAACACCUGGAGAACUUCCACCUCAGGACCAAGCAUCUGGCCGCCAACUGGAAUCGCAUCAGGAGCUCUAGGAGGACGAUUAUCCAUAUCCCAUCGUUAGGGUACAAGCAGUCCCUUCGAGAGGCCGACCCAGAUUUCGCUGUUCAUCAGGGAUCGCAGUUCGGAAGGCUGUGCGAGAUUAAAGAUCCAAAUGUGGACGUCAUCUAUAUUUGCCCCUUAGAAUUAAGUGAAGAAUUGCUGCGCUACUACAAUAAACUCCUGGGUCUGCAGCCAGCCGUUCGGUCUGGGAACCCCGAGGACAUUGGUGACCUACAGGACAGGUUCAAAAUCCUCACCCCUGAAGCCAUCAACAGUUUUCCUAACCGCCCCAUGUCCCUGGCCUCCUUCUUGAAAUACAGCCCUAAGAUCCUUAAAAGGGUCAGAAACCUGGUCCAAGGCAAGGAAGCCUAUAUCGUGGGAGGCCUUCUGAACCAAGAUGACCUGGAAGUGGCCGAUGUGCUAGACUUGCCCAUUCUCGGUUCUGAUCCAGAAGUGGCUCAUCUUUACAGCACCAAGUCCGGAAACAAAAGAGUCUUUGAUGCUGCAGGUGUUCCGGUGCCUCCCGGGCAAUAUGACAUCUAUAGCAGGCAUCAGAUGAUCGAGGCCCUCAGUCAGCUGAUUAUAGACAACCCAGAAGUGCAACGUUGGGUGUUCAAGAUGGAUAAUGAAUUUGGGGGAAAUGGGACUGCCUUUUGUGACAUCGCUAAGCAUCUCAAGUGCUACGCUUGGAUUCUGAAGGAGCAUCAUCGAUACGGACCAGAGAUGUGGAAUAAAAGAUGGGCUCAUGAACCAGCUUUGGUGAAGCUCUCUCAGGAGCUGCCGGGCCUUUUAGCACAGCACGCUCAGGCUGUCAAUGAGAAACGAUUUCCUACAUGGGGGAAAUUCCUCCAAACGUUUGUGAGUCAAGGUGGAGUCGUAGAAGCCUUCCCACCUUCCGACAGCAUCACCAGCCUCACCGUGGACAUGCUGAUUGAACCCACCGGGGAGGUCACGAUGGUUUCCUGCGGGGACCAGUUUCACGCCGAAGGUCCCUUGCGGUCUUCGGGUACGACCCUCCCUCAGGCGUCCGUUGAACCCAAGCGCCUUCAUCUGCUGUGUUCUAAAAUUGGGGAGGCCUGCAAAUCCAGAGGAGUGGUUGGAUACUUUUCUAUCGACUUUGUGACUUUCAUCCACCCGCAGUCCUUGAGGCAGCAGGUUUGGGCCACGGACUUAGAUCUGCGCUACAGCGAUCAUUUGGCCAUGACUCGGGUCGCGCUCUACGUGACAGAGGGGACCUUCGACUGCGCGUCAAGUCGCUUCCAGGUACAUCUCCCUUCAAAGAAGCCACCUGUGCAGAAGGAACAGACCCGAUCUACUUCCCUGGUCAGCCGCUACGUUCUCAUGAGCAGUUCGAUUAAGAACGACAACCUUUCCUUAAUUUACUAUAAUGUCUUCCUCCAGAUGUGCAAGGCUCACGGGAUCGGCUACGAUGUGCGGCUAAAAGAAGGAACUGUUUUUAUCUUGUUUGAAGAUAAGAAACGAAACACAUUUGGGAUGAUAACAAUUGGAGAACAUCUCCAGGGGGUCCUCAUGACCUUUGCUCAGCAUCUCUUCAUCAUCUAUCAAGAAUUAUCAGCACCUAAUAUGCAUGCCGAGACCAAUUUUAAGGGAGCCAUUCAAGACAUUGAGAGGAUCUUGGGGGUUACGGAGCAGAACAAGUUAAAAUUUGAAGAGAAAAAGGAGGCCUCAAAAGCAAAAACAUCCAAAAAAUAAUUAAAAUACACUCUUCACACCUUGAGAUUCUUGCCAGGCAUCUUCAAACUCUUCGUCUUUUGAAGCCUUCCCCUUUUACAGUUGUAAAUCUGAAACUGUUUUUUGGAUUUCUGAAAACCACAUUUAGGGAAGCUAAGAAUGUGCCUAAAAUGCAACUGUUGCAUGGAAAAGAAGGAGGCAUUUUCGUGUGUUUUAUUGGAUGAUCUACUCAGAAGAUCCAUUGGGUUCAAGGAGUCAUAUCCCAGUCCAUUUUCAGUGCCAAUAAUCCGUAAGAACUGAAGGGAAUUAUAGGAACAGUCACGAGUGGACUUUAUAUUCGAUACCAGAUUACAUUACGAAUAGUUUCACACUUCACAAAUUUCUGAGAGUUGUUCUGUUACUCAAAAAAAAAUGUAAGCACAUUUGCUUGGAAGUAAUUAUGCUGAACAAGAUUUAAAACCCAUUAUUGAAAUUUGAAGAAACCUGUUCCUCACAGUGACUGAGUUCAGACAACAUGCUUAACUAAAUUAAUUAAAUUAGUGCCUGCACAA